rnacentral:lncRNA from 1 species
AAAAUUUCUUAGAAUUUUCCUGUUUGUUGUAAACUUUAUUAACUUAACCUUUUUCACGUUUCUAAUUUACUAUUUACAGGUAGUGAUAAGACCAAAGUUAUGUUUUGGUAUGUUUUUCGUCUGUUCACUGUUAGGUAUGUGAUGGUCCAAGGUCAAACACAAGAAUUAUUUCAGAAAAAUCUCAUGAAAAUCAAGAUAAUAGAAGUUUUAAGAGGGGCUUGAACGAGAGUCAUUGUAUCACUAAAAAAAAAAAAUAUUUGAAAUGAAAUAAAAUUUUUGAACAACAAAAAAAUGGAUUUGGAUCUUGAAAAUAAAAUAAAUGGCUUAAUUAAGUUUAUAUAUGAUUUUUUUUACAUUUUUCUGCAGAGACCUCAGUGGCAUGCAAGUUGUUCAUCUACUGUAUCACUACCCUGUCAAUACUGUGAUUGUGAAUUUAAGCCCUGCGUGUUGUAGGUGUGUUCAACUCCAAUCUUUUUCAUAUUUGCUAUGAAAGGUUGGUGGUUAUCUUCAGACACACUAUCAUCCAAAAAAACAAACUGGCUGCCAUGAAAUAGCCAAUAUUCCUCAAAGUGGCAUUAAACAGAAAAAUCAAUCAAUCAAUAUAUUUUGUGCAUCUUUUUUUUUACCUGGUAAUUUUUAAGAAUUUAACUUGCAAUACAAAUAAAAUCAUAGACUGUUAAAUAGGAUGAUUUCAAUACUUAAAGUAACAUAAAUAGGGCAUUUGAUACUUGAGUGACAGUUUAUUACUCGAUUUAUUUCACUUGACUGGGCGGAGUUUAACCGAUUCGCUCACAAUAAACCAGUCUAUCUAUAGAGUAGGUGUUUUAGGAUAAACUUAUCAAUAAGUGUCCAGUCAUUGUUUUGUAAAUUCCUUUGAUGACACUGAUAGGUAAUUAUAAAUCAGUAAUAAUUAUAACGGCAAUCAUCCUUAUCACACACAUCUUCAAAUAGACUGUCCUUAUGCAAAUUAAAACGUAAGCUCCGCCCGAUCAGUUGAAAUAACAUUGGUAAUACCUUAGAUGAUUGUAUAUCUUUGUGUCAGGCAAAAGAUUUUCCUUACAAGAUAGUAUUCUGAAUAUUUAGGGCAAAUAUCAUUUUAUUGUUUUGAGUGGCCAAUAAAAACAAAUGAAUGUGUUUCAACAAUGUUUAAGAAAUUCGUUUUGAAAAAAAAAAAAUGUGAGGAUUUUUUUUCCCCUGAGUUCACAAUAAAAGAAAAAGUAGAAUGAGGAUAAAAUUUCAGAUCUUCAAACCACCUAGUUUUGAGGCUGAAAGGAGGAAGAUCACACUUUUAAUUGUUUGGGGUAAAAAAACAAACAUGCCUUUAUCAGUUAUUAGAUAAUCAAAUUUUAAAUAAUAUUUUCAAUUUUAGUUUAAUUGAAUUAUAAAAUUUGCUCUUUGAAAAAAAAAUACAAAGGAAAGGAAAUCAUAGUUAAUUUUGAAAUCAGAAUCAUGACUGGCAACAAUAAGUAAGUGACCUUAUACAAGUGCACAUUUACAUAUACAUGUACAAGCCUUUGAUUGAAAAUACAAAAUAAUAAAUGAAUUAUGGUCAGCUUUGUAGGGUUCUUAUAACAAGUCAGUUUUCAAACAGUUCCAUGAUUUUUUCAACACGAAAUAGGUUAACUGGGCCAUGUUCAAUAUUGUAGCUGCUACGUAGUGCUACUUAGAUUUUGACUAUUGAACGUGUAGCUAUAGACUAGCUACUACAUAGAUAUUGAUAGCAGCUACGUAGCUGCUACGAUAUUGAACACAACCCAGAUAUUCAUUUCCUCUAUCACAGAACCAACCUUUUGUAAUUAAUGACAAAUUGUUCUCGUCCAGAAUAUACAUGAAAUAUUUGCAACUGGGUGUUAGGCAACCAACUAUCAAUCAAUCAAUCAUCUUUCAUUAUAUGAAUACAUUUUGAAAAUAAGAAAAUUGGGGAAAAGAAAUUGCUGUAAAGUUGUCUAGAAAGGGCUUAACGUGAAAUAAAGUUUCGGUAAAAUUCAGUUGGUUUACAGUAUUAUUUGAUAGUCACGUUGAGCUUCUCCAGAUUUCUGUUAUCCUUUUAUUGAAGUAUUAAAUUUAAAAUAGGAAUGCAUAAGUUGAAAAAGUACAAAAAUAAAAAAAUGUGGUAUAAUUGCUAAUGAGAGAACACUCCACAAAAAGAGUUGUUUCGGAAAUGGUUUUUAUGGGGACUGGGAGAUACUUAUGAUUAAUAAGUAUGCUGUUGUAUUUUAAGGAGUUUUAAGAAUCAUAAAAUUUUUAUAUUGUGCUUGGUUGGGGUUAUAAACCCUCCAUUAAUUAAUGGAAGAGCCCUAUCAUGCCUAUUAAGAAUUUAGAAUUUUUAUGAUGUACGUUUUUAUUGAAGAACAAAAGUGUUAUUUAUAUUUAAUUUAGCAUAACUUCAAGUUGUAAUUUUUAUCCUUGAAAGCAUCAUAUAGUGC